UUGGCUCAGGAUGAACGCUGGCGGCGCACAUAAGACAUGCAAGUCGAACGGAAGCCGUUAUAAAAAAGAUUGAAGAUUUAUCUGAUUGAAAUUUUAUAACAAUGACUUUAGUGGCGGACUGGUGAGUAAUACAUGAGCAACCUGCCUAUUAGAGGGGAACAACAGUUAGAAAUGACUGCUAAUACCGCAUAUGCCAUAUGAAUCACAUGGUUCAAGUGGGAAAGGAGCAAUCCGCUAAUAGAUGGACUCAUGGCUGAUUAGCUAGUUGGUGGGGUAAUGGCCUACCAAGGCGACGAUCAGUAGCCGGACUGAGAGGUUAAACGGCCACAUUGGGACUGAGAUACGGCCCAGACUCCUACGGGAGGCAGCAGUGGGGAAUA
rnacentral:rRNA from 1 species